GUGCCAGCAGCCGCGGUAACACGUACUGUGCGAACGUUAUUCGGAAUCACUGGGCUUAAAGGGUGCGUAGGCGGCCAGGCAAGUAGGAUGUGAAAUCUUCCGGCUCAACCGGAAAACUGCGUUCUAAACUGCCUGGCUUGAGUGAGAUAGGGGUGUGCGGAACUUCCAGUGGAGCGGUGAAAUGUGUUGAUAUUGGAAGGAACGCCGUUAGCGAAAGCGGCACACUGGGUCUCAACUGACGCUGAGGCACGAAAGCCAGGGUAGCGAACGGGAUUAGAAACCCUGGUAGUCC
rnacentral:rRNA from 1 species